rnacentral:rRNA from 1 species
GACGAACGCUGGCGGCGUGCUUAACACAUGCAAGUCGAACGGAAAGGCCCUGCUUUUGUGGGGUGCUCGAGUGGCGAACGGGUGAGUAACACGUGAGUAACCUGCCCUUGACUUUGGGAUAACUUCAGGAAACUGGGGCUAAUACCGGAUAGGAGCUCCUGCUGCAUGGUGGGGGUUGGUAAGUUUCGGCGGUUGGGGAUGGACUCGCGGCUUAUCAGCUUGUUGGUGGGGUAGUGGCUUACCAAGGCUUUGACGGGUAGCCGGCCUGAGAGGGUGACCGGCCACAUGGGGACUGAGGGACGGCCCAGACGGCUACGGGAGGCAGCAGGGGGGAAUAUGGCACAGUGGGCGGAAGCCUGAUGCAGCAACGCCGCGUGCGGGAUGACGGCCUUCGGGUUGUAAACCGCUUUCGCCUGUGACGAAGCGUGAGUGACGGUAAUGGGUAAAGAAGCACCGGCUAACUACGUG